rnacentral:tRNA from 1 species
UGUUCUGUGGCGGAGUUGGUUAACGCGCCCUGUCCAGCAAACUUAGGGAGACGUGGGUUCAAACCCCACCAGAAGUA